rnacentral:rRNA from 1 species
ACUCCUACGGGAGGCAGCAGUGGGGAAUAUUGGACAAUGGGCGCAAGCCUGAUCCAGCCAUGCCGCGUGAGUGAUGAAGGCCCUAGGGUUGUAAAGCUCUUUCACCGGUGAAGAUAAUGACGGUAACCGGAGAAGAAGCCCCGGCUAACUUCGUGCCAGCAGCCGCGGUAAUACGAAGGGGGCUAGCGUUGUUCGGAUUUACUGGGCGUAAAGCGCACGUAGGCGGACUAUUAAGUCAGGGGUGAAAUCCCGGGGCUCAACCCCGGAACUGCCUUUGAUACUGGUAGUCUUGAGUUCGAGAGAGGUGAGUGGAAUUCCGAGUGUAGAGGUGAAAUUCGUAGAUAUUCGGAGGAACACCAGUGGCGAAGGCGGCUCACUGGCUCGAUACUGACGCUGAGGUGCGAAAGCGUGGGGAGCAAACAGGAUUAGAUACCCCGGUAGUCCCAUG